rnacentral:lncRNA from 1 species
UAAUAUAGAUAUAAAUUUUAAGAUUAAUUUCAUAUAGGUCCCUACAAAUAUAGUGAAUUAUAAAUAUAUUCCUAUAAAAUUUAAUUUUCAUAUGUUAUUUCUGUAAAAGUUCUAAUAUUUUCAAAUUUAUCCCUCUGGUUUAUUAUUGUUAAAACGCUGUUUAUUUUAUAAGUAAAAUAAUCUUUUUGUAAUCACAAAUAUGCCGCUCCAAUAAUCCCAACUAUUAAUUAAAGAGAGGUAAAAAGGACAAUUAACCAGAUUAACUAACUAAGGUUAAGUAUUUUACCUAUGGUUAACUAAUUUUUUCUAAUGGAUUCUAACAAUAGGAACAUAUUUGAAAAUAUCAUGACUUUUUCAGAGGCAAUAUAUGAAAGUUGAACUUUGUAGGAAUAUAUUUGUAAUUCACUAUAUUUAUAGGAACUUGUAUGAAAUUAAUCCUAAAUUUAAUAUUCUCCUAGCCUAUAUUUGUUUACUUGCUUAUCAAAAUUUAUUUAUUUUUUACU